CAGCAUCAUUUCCCUCAGCCCUGGCCUCCAUCACCUCCAAUGCCAACAUCAAAGUCAAGGGCCAUGCUUCUGUUAUCAAUUCUGCUGCUCAUGUCCCAAGCCAAGGGCAUACAUCUCGAAUGUGGUAAAAGACCCAUUUUUGAAGAAGGAACUCAGUAUUCCAGAAUCAUAGGGGGGAUGGAGGCUGAGGUGGGUGAGUUCCCAUGGCAGGUGAGUAUUCAGGCAAGAAACGAACAUUUCUGUGGUGGCGCAAUCAUCAACGAGUGGUGGAUUGUCACUGCUGCUCACUGCUUAUUUUAUGAAGAGCUAUCUCCAAUGGACUUGAGUGUUGUGUUGGGAACAAAUGACUUAAGAAGCCCAUCCUUGGAAAUAAAGAGGGUUACCAGCAUAAUUCUUCACAAGGACUUUCAAAGAGUCAACAUGGACAAUGACAUCGCCUUGCUGCUGUUGGCCUUGCCCAUCACUUUCAGCGGUUUGAAAGAGCCCAUCUGCCUGCCCAGGAAGCUCAGCCCCUCCAUGUGGCACAAAUGCUGGGUGGCAGGAUGGGGUCAGACCAACACUGAUGACAAAAACUCUAUGAAAACUGAUCUGAUGAAAGUGCCAAUGAUCAUCAUGGAUUGGAAGAAAUGUUCAAAGGCAUUUCCGAGACUUACCAAGAAUAUGCUGUGUGCUGGAUAUGAGAAUGAGAGCUUUGAUGCUUGCCAGGGUGACAGUGGGGGGCCUCUGGUGUGCACCACAAAAUCUGACAAGAACUGGUACCAGGAAUGAAGAUUUACCACCAGGUAGAGAACCAUGGCCAGCUGAAGUUCUUGCUGAUGGCAAAGGAACUACAGAAUGGAUAGUGGAAGAAGAUUGAAGAAACCAAGCUGAAAAAGGUAGAGUGACUUGCCCAACGUCAUGCAGGUAAGAGGUGGUAAAGCUAGUAUUCACACGCAGACAGUCUGAUCUAAAUGGAGGCAGAUUUAACUACGGGGCCACACAGCUUCUGGACACUGUUCAAGGCAAUAUAUAUAAUACCUGACUAUAGGCUUUUUUACAACAACGUUCAACCAACAUUUGAUUAGAACAUAUGAAGUGCCAAUAUUUCCCAAAAAAAGAGACAGACAAGAUCCCUGCCCUGAUUCAAGAGCUACUCACCAUCCACCAUUGAAGCUUUUAGUAACCUGAAAAAAAGGGGCUGC